UACGAAGGGUGCGAGCGUUAUUCGGAAUUAUUGGGCGUAAAGGGUGCGUAGGCGGCAUGCUAAGUCAACUGUUAAAGACCUCAGCCUAACUGGGGAUCGGCGGUAGAUACUGGUGUGCUAGAGGGUGGAAGAGAGAAGUGGAAUUCUUGGAGUAGCGGUAAAAUGCGUAGAUCUCAAGAGGAACACCGAUGGCGAAGGCAGCUUCUUGGUCCACAUCUGACGCUGAUGCACGAAAGCAUGGGGACCAAACAGG
rnacentral:rRNA from 1 species